rnacentral:lncRNA from 1 species
AUGACACGGACGCUGGCACGCAGCCUUCGAGGUGUUUUUCAGAGGGUUAGAUGGCAGGAGCCGGCCCCAGGCGUGCAUGAGAGCAGCACCCACAGUGGCUCCCGGAUCGCAGCCCGUGUGCACAGCAUCCGCAAGGCCCCACCCCCCACCCCGCCCCGUGACUUCGCCACGCUCCAGAGGGAGCCUCCUAAGCCGUGUCCUAUCACAAGCGAGUUCACUGCCCCGGACGCCGGCUGCUCACUGUCGCCAGGAUCCAGCGCGCCUCUGAUAAUGGCAGGACGGCCGCAAGGACCAGCGCCGGCCAUCAGCCGGCUAGUGCAGGGCCCUGCCCUCCGCCAGGGCUGCGCCUCCGGAAUGGAGACCACGGACGGGGAAGAGCCAGCCCCACCAGGACGCCUCGUGGCAGCCAUGGCCACCAGACAAUGGAAUCAGCCCAGUUCCGUGGCUGCACGGGCUUCCACACGCUCGUGGUCUGUGUUUAGGAUUACACUGUUCCCAGAGAUCCCCGGGGCGCAGGGGCGAUCCCAGGGGCUUCCGUCCCGGGGGGCCAUCACAGUGGCAAGUGGCUAUGCCCCAGACCUCUUCAUCCGCCUCUGUGCCCGCUGGGGGCACUCAGUGUCCCGUGAACGGGGCCGUUUCUGGGGGACUGGGCACUGCCCCUCAGUGGCAUCCAGACCAAUGCCAGCUCUCUUUUCAUAUGCAGAUCACCCCAACACUUCAAGAACAACGGGAUUCCCUGGCAGUCGGAGCCCUUCUCUCAGCACCAGUCAGCCCGACACCUUCAGAGGCGCGUCCCGGGCUGUUCCUGUCGUGGAGACUUGGGCUCCCGGUCACCUGACUGCCGCCUGCCCUCCAGCCCUGUCCCGGGGCCUCCUCAACAGCAGAAGUCAGCCAGGAGACUUUCUGGUGGGAGCUGGAAGCACAGCAGUUGUCAGGUUCCUGGCAGGCACACGCACCACCGCCACAGAGCGGUCCGAGUGGGCAAGCGCCAACGGUGGGGGCGGCAGGACCCUGCGGACGGUGCCGAGAUGGGCGCUUGGCCGGCUGCUCCGGUUAGGAGGGAAAACACCACGUGAGGAAGCAUUGGCAGCCCAGGUUAGCAGAAUCCCGCCCCGCCACAGCGUGGGUGGAGGGUGCAGGUCCCCUUCUCUCUCAGGGGUCCCGAGCCUGUUCUGGAAAGCACAGGGCAGUGAAAUGACCGGGCGAAGUCUAGAAAGUCCUACCUGGUGCGUUGGAAGAUGGGAGGGCUGGCGUCUGCUGCAAGGCGAGCUGGGCAGCGUGCGGCUGAGCUGGGGAGGAGGCGGUCCCGGUGCACUGCGGACGGUGCCUCCCUCUGCCUUCCCGGCAGCAGCGGCCCCUUAUAUACUCCUCUCCCCGCGCCCCCCCCCCCCCCCCCGGGAGCGCUGUCAGUCACAGGGCGAGGAAGGCGGCUAA